rnacentral:rRNA from 1 species
GAUGAACGCUAGCGGGAGGCCUAACACAUGCAAGCCGAGCGGCAUUGUUUCUUCGGAAAUGAGAGAGCGGCGUACGGGUGCGUAACACGUGUGCAACCUGCCUUUAUCUGGGGGAUAGCCUUUCGAAAGGAAGAUUAAUACUCCAUAGUCUAUUUAACGGCAUCGUUUAAUAUUGAAAGCUCGGGCGGAUAGAGAUGGGCACGCGCAAGAUUAGCUAGUUGGUGGGGUAACGGCUCACCAAGGCGAUGAUCUUUAGGGGGCCUGAGAGGGUGAUCCCCCACACUGGUACUGAGACACGGACCAGACUCCUACGGGAGGCAGCAGUGAGGAAUAGUGGUCAAUGGGUGCAAGCCUGAACCAGCCAUCCCGCGUGAAGGACGACUGCCCUAUGGGCUGUAAACUUCUUUUGUAUAGGGAUAAACCUACCCUCGUGAGGGUAGCUGAAGGUACUAUACGAAUAAGCACCGGCUAACUCCGUGCCAGCAGCCGCCGUAA